AACACAUGCAAGUCGAGGGCAGCAUAAAAGUAGCAAUACUUGGUGGCGACCGGCGCGACGGGUGAGUAACGCGUAUGCAACCUACCUAGUCAGAGGGGAAUAACCCGGCGAAAGUCGGACUAAUACCGCAUAAAACAGGGGCACCGCAUGGUGAUAUUUGUUAAAGAAAUUCGCUGAUAGAUGGGCAUGCGUUCCAUUAGGUAGUUGGUGAGGUAACGGCUCACCAAGCCGACGAUGGAUAGGGGAACUGAGAGGUUGGUCCCCCACACUGGUACUGAGACACGGACCAGACUCCUACGGGAGGCAGCAGUGAGGAAUAUUGGUCAAUGGGCGGGAGCCUGAACCAGCCAAGUCGCGUGAAGGAAGAAGGAUCUAUGGUUCGUAAACUUCUUUUGCAGGGGAAUAAAGUGCAGGACGUGUCCUGUUUUGUAUGUACCCUGAGAAUAAGGAUCGGCUAACUCCGUGCCAGCCGCCGC
rnacentral:rRNA from 1 species